UGCAGCCUUGUCGUCAAAUUCCGUGUUUUCUCUACAAUGGACUGUACUGGCCAAAAUGGCUGCCAUAGUGAGUUGUUAAUGAGCCCCACAUCCCUCUGGCAUGGCUGGAUAAAUGUGUACUACAGACAGUU